GAUGAACGCUGGCGGCGUGCCUAAUACAUGCAAGUAGAACGCUGAAGGAGGAGCUUGCUCUUCUGGAUGAGUUGCGAACGGGUGAGUAACGCGUAGGUAACCUGCCUGGUAGCGGGGGAUAACUAUUGGAAACGAUAGCUAAUACCGCAUGACAACAGUUAUUGCAUGAUAACUGUUUAAAAGGGGCAACUGCUCCACUACCAGAUGGACCUGCGUUGUAUUAGCUAGUUGGUGAGGUAACGGCUCACCAAGGCGACGAUACAUAGCCGACCUGAGAGGGGGAUCGGCCACACUGGGACUGGGACACGGCCCAGACUCCUACGGGAGGCAGCAGUAGGGAAUCUUCGGCAAUGGACGGAAGUCUGACCGAGCAACGCCGCGUGAGUGAAGAAGGGUGUCGGAUCGUAAAGCUCUGUUGUAAGAGAAGAACGAGUGUGAGAGUGGAAAGUUCACACUGUGACGGUAUCUUACCAGAAAGAGACGGCUAACUACGUG
rnacentral:rRNA from 1 species